rnacentral:misc_RNA from 1 species
AACGGGUAUACUGCACUGAGAAGACAGGAAUGGUUUCCGGAACUGUUGGUUCAGCUGGUGCCACGGCGUCGUAUACGAGUCUUUUGAACUUUGCGCGAGUGGGUGCAGUUUUUAUCGGCUAUUUGGCUGGUAGUUCUAUGAACGCGCAGCGGGAGCGCAACGCGCGGAGGAAGCUCGAGGCGGAGCUUCAGCGUCAGGCAGCUGAGCUGCAGGCUUUACGGGAACAGCUGUCCAGGUCCGAAGACCGAGCCGCGUCGACGGGAGACCCUGUUCAGGACUGGAUUCAGUCUUUGAGCUCGUCAUGAGGCCGAGGCACGCACCGCGCUGUCGCAGCGCUUCGCGUGUCGUGCCUGCCUCUCGUUAACGGUAACGCCAGCCCGGUGCUCUCGUGCGGCGUUGACGCAGCCUACUUUUCUCCUGCCCUCUGCUGGGGAUUGAUUCCGACGAGUUGGCAACACUUUUCUUCUACUUUCUCCAGGCGCUCACACAGUCUCUCUAACCUGCUGUCGAUCUUGGUCAAAAGUUCCUCAGCACGGCUUUGGAAAGCUUCGACAUGCUCUUCGUACUGGGCGAGCUGGUAUCGUGCGGCCUCGCGUUUCUUCCAGACUCGCAUCUAGCGUAUCGUUUGGUCUUGAGCUUGCAAGCCCCCGAGAGCCGACUUGUUCGCGAGGUUUCCGAGCGCUGCGCCUCUCGCCCCGAUCCAAGCGAUGGAGUCGCAAGGACGCAGCUGCAGCUGGAGCUGCGCAUAUCCGAUCUUCGGCGUCGCAUGGCCGAUGGCGCGCUCGUUUUCAGUGCGCGGGACGUUUUCGUGCGUCUGGCGGGAAAAGUGGAAGGCUGCGGCCCCAGCAGCGCCAUGGGCGAAGGGGCGGUCGUUCCACUGGUCGUGUCCCAGCCGCGUGACAGAGGCCUUGGAUCGGAGCCGGCGGUGUCAGGAAGUCAGUCACGCUGCCGUCUCGCAGCGGUAUGAAUGACGGUGCACGUUGGCACGAGAUGCGGAGAGAGAUUCGCUGCUCGGUCGUAUGAGGUGUCCAAAAAGUUGCAGGAUGUAUUUUUAGGGAAAGUGAUGAACGAUACGCAUCACAGUUUGGAACGUACACUGCUGCCGCCCAUCUGACGUUUGAGGUGCCUCUCGUAUUCGUUUCAGACGGGUUAUAGCGAGGAGCGCGUCAACAUCGGCAAUAUGCGGUUGGAUGGGCGUGUGCGAAGCAUCGGAUUCAGCCAGACGACUUGAGAAUCUCUGCAGUUGUCGUGUGGAUUCUGUGAGAGAGCGCCAAGCGUGCACCGUCUUGGAUCCACCGUCUCAUGUUGCCGGAUGACAGCGCGCUCACUCGGCGCUUAACGAAGCGAGCAAAUGAGCGAGAGCAUCGCUUGGAGCACAGCUUGCUGAUGGCGUGCUGUGCUGCUCAUCGGAGACAGGUCUCGGAAGCAGACCGCGCAAAGUACGAACAUGCUUGGUGGUAAACCCCCGUAUAACCCAAGGCACGGUGCCGCAAAGCUGCCUUCGUAUAUCUGGAAGAUUUCCGGUGGGUCCAUCUUUGGCCUCGAAUCACGCUGAUCGGCUUUUGUAACAGGACGCUCGUGCGAACCAGACCACAACCCGAUUCAAGGUAUCACCAGGAACGACACCAGCGCACGGGCGCUGGGUUUAUGCAUAUCUGCUUUCGGGGCAGUGCGCACUCGCCACCUGCACCCUAGGCUGUUCGCGUAUGCGGCUAGCCAUGCGCACCAGUGCACGUGCAAAACCUGAAUACGCUCGGCGUACGAACCGAGCACAGAUCACGAAACCCUCUCUCUGUCUCUCCUUGGCUGUUCAUGUGUUCAUGUAGUUGCUCGGCUCUUGCACGCUACCGAUCCAGUCAGUGAAACGCAUGACCCGCUUCUCGUUUCUUUGCUCGGCGCUCAGGAGCGAGCUCGUCUGGAUCCGUUCAAACUUUUGGAUGUGCUGCUUCGCCACCGACCGCUCCAGGCUUGCGGACGCGGCCGCUGCGUCUUCAUGGGGACUCUUCUGGGUCAACCGGAGCGGUGUUGGCUUCGUGCGUUGCGCACUGGGCACGUCGGGCGUCGCACUGGGCGCUUCGGCAGGCACCGCACGCGACGACGUAUUCCCGAUAUUCUCCUUUCCGGUUGAGACGUCGCUGUCGUUCUGUUUUCUCGCAGUGGAUUCAAACGAGUGUCCGUUCAAUCGUUUCUCCAGCAAAUCACGUUCGAGUUGCACGAGAUCCAGCUGUUCUUGCACUGCCCGCAGCUUUGACAAGAUGUCCGCAUACGCCUCCGUCUCGUGUGCGGCGUUGUUCCGGCGCUGCGUCUGGACGAGUUCCUCGCGGAGGCGCUCGAGAACACCCUCCUGUUCCUCGCGAUCUUUUUCCAAACAAGCAAUUCGAAGGCUUUUUCGGUCUGUUUCCUCUUCUAAAGCGCGAAUCU